GUUCAAUCACGCAGUAAAAUGGCAUAGCUUCUUUAUAAAACUUAUGGAGUUCCAUCAGUAGGUAUAGAUUCAUGUCAGUUUUGGUCAAAUUUCCUCUGGUGAGCAAGUCUUUUGUUUCUUUUUUAUAUUUAUGGCCCUUCUAGUUAACAUAUAUCUAAUACCAUCUUUUCAGCAUUUGGUGUGGAUGCUGCGUUCAGCUAUAAGUAUAAUCAAUGACAUGGAAUUUGUGAUAAAGACGGGCUAGCUAUUUGCCCAGGAUUCAAAACAACUCACGAUAUUUCGAUUUGUUUUCAUAACCUUGGUAUCUACUUAGAAAGUGAAUUUCCAAAAUCAGGUGAUCAUUAUUUGUUCGUGUUUGUGAGUGCAUGCAAUAGCUUCACAAUGGUGCGAUUGCAAACAAGUUAUAAAGUAGUAAAUUAACAAAUUUGUGCCUGGAAUUUUGAAGGUUAUGUUUGGCCAGAGAACUUGAAAUCCAUGGAUUCAAAUUUAAGUUCUUAUCUCAAAUUGUAUAAUAAAAAAUUGUACGUGUAAAGUAGGAUAAAAAACCUACUUCUACCAGUAUUGCAAAGGCAAUGUUGGAACUCACCUAAGUGCUUGAAGAAGCCGAGUUGCAGGCAAGGUUACUUCAGCUAGGCAAUGCCUAUGUGAGCACAUGGGCUGAGGCACUAUGCGCCUAGGUGCUUGAGGCACUUGCUUCAUUCACUUGAUGCUAUUUGUUUAAUUUUCUUUUCUAUCAUUAAUUCACCACUAAAUCAUGGGUUGAUUGGGUAGAUGUUCCUGAUAAUGUAAAAAGCAACAUCUCUGUUUGUCUUUCUUUCAUAUUUUGGCUUGCACUGUUUGCAGUAUUGCUUUAGCAUGUGCUGCACAUAUAUAGGUUAAUGGACAUUACAUUACUGCAGAAUUGACUUGUUACAUUUUUUUUAUUACUAAUUAUUUCAUUACUAUAAACAGCAUUAUUUGUUGAGAUGUUUGCUUAAACAUAUUUUUGUUUAUUCGUAUAAUGCCACUUGAAUUCCAAAUCUAUUUGAUUUUCAGGUUCCAUGCUCAAACAAAUCUAUUUGUUUCUAUUGCUGAUUAGAAACUAUGAAUAGGAUAAGUGUAGGCAAGAUUACUAUUCCUCGUUAUUUUGGGUUGCUUACCUGUGCUUCAAUCCCAGUUUAUUGAUGGAGAACCUGUCUAUAUAGGAUGCUGCCGAACAAAUAUUGGUGGAUACCGUGUUACUGGUUAUCUGAAGCAACUUCUUUCACU
rnacentral:misc_RNA from 1 species